CGAACGGGUGAGUAACACGUGAGUAACCUGCCCCAGACUCUGGGAUAACUUCGGGAAACCGGAGCUAAUACCGGAUAUGACACGAAGAGGCAUCUCUAUCGUGUGGAAAGUUUCUCGGUCUGGGAUGGACUCGCGGCCUAUCAGCUUGUUGGUGAGGUAACGGCUCACCAAGGCGACGACGGGUAGCCGGCCUGAGAGGGCGACCGGCCACACUGGGACUGAGACACGGCCCAG
rnacentral:rRNA from 1 species